rnacentral:rRNA from 1 species
GACGAACCGUCCGAACGUUAUUCGGAAUUACUGGGCUUAAAGGGUGCGCAGGCGGCCAAGUGUGUGAGGCGUGAAAGCCUGGGGCUUAACUCCAGAAUUGCACCUCAAACUACAUGGCUAGAGCAUUGGAGAGGGUAGCAGAAUUCACGGUGUAGCAGUGAAAUGCGUAGAUAUCGUGAGGAAUACCAGAGGCGAAGGCGGCUACCUGGACAAUUGCUGACGCUCAGGCACGAAAGCGUGGGGAGCAAAAGGG